rnacentral:rRNA from 1 species
AGUGAACGCUGGCGGUAGGCCUAACACAUGCAAGUCGAACGGCAGCACAGUAAGAGCUUGCUCUUACGGGUGGCGAGUGGCGGACGGGUGAGGAAUACAUCGGAAUCUACUUUUUCGUGGGGGAUAACGUAGGGAAACUUACGCUAAUACCGCAUACGACCUACGGGUGAAAGCAGGGGAUCUUCGGACCUUGCGCGAUUGAAUGAGCCGAUGUCGGUUUAGCUAGUUGGCGGGGUAAAGGCCCACCAAGGCGACGAUCCGUAGCUGGUCUGAGAGGAUGAUCAGCCACACUGGAACUGAGACACGGUCCAGACUCCUACGGGAGGCAGCAGUGGGGAAUAUUGGACAAUGGGCGCAAGCCUGAUCCAGCCAUACCGCGUGGGUGAAGAAGGCCUUCGGGUUGUAAAGCCCUUUUGUUGGGAAAGAAAAGCAGCAGGUUAAUACCCCGCUGUUCUGACGGUACCCAAAGAAUAAGCACCGGCUAACUUCGUG